AAUAUUUUUAAGGUCUAACCUGCCCACUGAAAAAUUUUAAAUGGCCGCAGUAUAUUAACUGUGCAAAGGUAGCAUAAUCAUUAGUCUUUUAAUUGAAGGCUGGAAUGAAUGGUUGGACGAAAUAUUAACUGUUUCAAAAUAAUUUAUAUUAGAAUUUUAUUUUUUAGUAAAAAAGCUAAAAUGUAAUUAAAAGACGAGAAGACCCUAUAAAUCUUUAUAAUUUGACUAUUUUAAUUGAAAAGAAUUAUUUUAUUAUAAUAGUUUAAAUUAUUUUAUUGGGGUGAUAUUAAAAUUUAAUAAACUUUUAAUUAAUUAAAUCAUUGAUUUAUGAAUAAUUGAUCCAAUUUUAUUGAUUAAAAAUUUAAGUUACUUUAGGGAUAACAGCGUAAUUUUUUUGGAGAGUUCAUAUCGAUAAAAAAGAUUGCGACCUCGAUGUUGGAUUAAGAGAUAGAUUUGGGAGUAGCCAUUCAAAUAUUUAAGUCUGUUCGACUUUUAAAUUCUUACGUGAUCUGAUUCAGACCGGA
rnacentral:rRNA from 1 species